CUCGCGAGAAUUCGGCCCGUGGGGCUGCGAGCGCCGAGCCCGGCGCUUAGGGCGUCCGGGUGGUUGUCGCUCGCACACUUUUAAUCACCUGGGUGUCUACUCUGCCCCGGGAUGUACAGAAUGGUCGAGGAGCCCUGCAAACGCCUUUCGUUAGAGAAAAGAAGGACCUUGCAUCUCAAGGCUCCCUCUGUCGGCAGGGAAAAGGCCAGGCCCCAGCGUCUCCAUGCCCCGCUCUCCCGAGUGCCUGCGCAUCAGGAAGCGGCGCCAGCAGAAAGGCCCUUGGCUGGCCCCGCCGUCCAUACGCUUCUUUCCAGUCAGUCCAGCUUCCGAACGUCCUGUCCUCUUCAAACACCCCAGCCUCUUGCUGGAGGAGAGAGCACCGUGGGAUCCCGCCCGGCCUCCGCCCUCGGGCAGGGCUGUGGCCCGUCCAGUCAGAAGGGCCAGCGUAGUAUUUACCCUCCUCCCCACCUUCCUCACGAUCCCGCCGGGAGGGACCUCGGGGCCCAUCUUCCACUGGGAGAGGCAACACUCCUCGCCCCAGUGAAGUGGCGGCAUCCCCGGCCGCGUCCCCCAGCUCCAUCCCCGCCCCCUUCCAGGGAGCGUCCUUCUCCAACGGGGCCAGGUUCCUGCGAUGGACGGACGUUCUGCUUUGAAAAUGAGCGAACUUUAAUCUCCUGUAGCUACAGAGAGCGUUGUGCUACGUGUUAGGUUAAGCAGAUUUCGCAACAGUCGUUUUUCCAAACGUUAGUGCUUCCAUUACGAAGGCAAUGAUGGAUGCAGGAUUGUCAGAGCGCGCUGGGCGAACGCAAUCCUGCCGGAUUCCCAACACCCACAGCGUCAGCCACCUGCACCUGGGAUCUCCAGACUUCUUUUAGACCUUCGCCUCUGUUACAAAGGCAGAAAAAGGUAUCCACCUGUUGACCUCAGCUGUGCACUCCUGCUGUGUGCAGCACUUUGUAAAAUGUAAACGGACUAGAGAACAUCAUCGUGCCUCUGACCUUUCUAAGAUGUCUGACCGAGGAGUUGUGCCAAGAGGAGGAGAACCGUGUCCCUGUGCUUGCACACAGGGUGGCUUGCUCGCCUAGGGCACUGACUGUGGAGCACCUGCCUGGUAGGAGUGCUGCUCUGCCUGUGACCAGCAGCUUCAACCAGCUACACCCAGCUUCUUCACGCUUCACUCCCAGGGCUUUGGGGAAUAACUGAGGUUGUAACGUGGGCAACUGUUCUCCCCCUCUGAAGGACAGGGCGUCGAGGCUGCGCAGUUGCUGAGAGGCAGAGCUCCAUCCGAGCCCACAGUAAUUCCCAGAAUGAUGCUGCUUCUCUGGGCUGGUGCAUAUUACUGAGAAACCACCAUGCAUCACAUCGGAAGUCCUCAUUCCAGCUUGGCAGAGUUUCUGCUAUCUCAAGAGAAGAUUGAAGGAUUUAAUCAAGCUUCAUAAGCCAAACCAUCUGAAGUCACAGUGAUUCUCAACCCCAAGUUUGACAAGCUCUUCAAGUUUCGACAAAGAUUUCAAGAGGUAUCAUGACAUCAUCAGGACAACAUUCUCAAAUAAUAAAAUUUAAUUUUAAAAGAUCCUCACGUGUUGUACUGUUGUUUAGGAAGGCAGGAAUGCCAUGGAGGUGGUUUAGGGCAAAGCUUGGUAGGUUCAGCAGCACUGAAAGGGGGCAGUGUGAAGGGCAGAGCUGAAGAAGUUAGAGUACCCUGGCUACAGCUGUGCCAUUUUGGGUCAGCCGGCCUUCCUGAGCCUCAGUUUCUCAUGCAACUACUGCAGGGCUAGAGCGACAAUCCAAGCACCUACUUAGGUUAGUGACUGCCCCGCCAAGGCCACCUGGAGCCUGCUGGGAAACUCCAAGCUGACAUUUACUGUGUGUGGUGGGACGUUCUCUUGGUGUCUCCUGAGACAGAAACUAUCCAGCCCAGGGCCUGCCUGAACAGUGCCCUGCUGACCUGCUCCAAAACACAGAACAAAGAAUGAUGUGAAGGGCGUGUUUUAAAGAGGUGAUUAACCUGCCCCCAGAAGGGAGGAAUGUUUUAGGGCAAACUAGUUCCCAGAUCCAGCCUGGAAAUACCCGUGCUUCCCAUCCAUCUGCAUGCUGUGACCUGUCCUGCCUGUCCAUGUGUCUCCUCUGUCCUUCAAAAAUGGGAAUCUGGCCACACACUGCUCCCUUCCCUCUGCUUCCACUGAGUCCUGAUGUGUUCUGACUCCAUGUCCCACAACUUCCAGUUAGCUUCCUUAUCUGCUUUCCUGGCCUUUAGAGUGCAUGAAUAUCCAGAGUGUUGAUCAUUCCAAGCACUGACAAACUCCUUCAUUUAAGUCAGAUUCCUGAGGCCCACCACAUGCUAGGAAGAGCCCUGAGCUGGGCAUCGGGAGACCUGGGUUCUAGUCUUGGCUGGGGCAUUCACUGACAAAUUACCCAAUGUGGUAACUGUGAUAUAGUGAAUGUCUUUUUGACUCUGUUCCUGGCUAAUGCCACGGUGCUCUUGAAACCCUUGUGAUUUCUUGAGUAGGAGGGAUACUAAGUGUAUCUUUUUGUUCUAAUGUUUGGUCUUUGACUCCAGUGUCUUUCACAAAGUUCCUAAUCCCUUGGACUGUCCCAGGUGAUGGGAGCUGUCUUUUUCUAUUGCAAUGACUCUUGGUGGGCUACUGGCUGGCACUGGUCACCAGACAGACCAACCACAAUUAGAAGCUAGAACUUUGGGCCACUUACAUAAUGAUCGGUGGUGUCUAUGUAAUGGAGCCUCUCUGAGGGCCCCUGAACUACUGGGUUGGCACCUGGAGUAGGCAGGAUUUCUGAGCCCUUUCCUCGCUUCCUCUUACCAGCCCUAUGCAUUGCCUCAUCUGAUUGCUAAUCCAUCUCCUUUAUCAGAUUAUUUGUUAACAUCACAAUUCAGUAAGUCGAUGUGUUUCCCUGAGUUCUGGGAACCCUCUGAGACAAUUAAUCAAACCUAGGAAGGGGUCACAGGAGCUCCCACUGUAGGGCCAGUGGGUCAGAAGUACAGAUGACGGUCCAGAACUUGCAAGUGGCGUCCGCAGUGGAGGAAGUCUCAGGGAGUGAGCCUCUGUAGGGCCUGGCACGGUUUCCAGGUAGACGGCGUCAGAAUAGAGUUGACUUUGAGGACACCCGGCUGAUGUGUGAUGCAGAACUCUUCAGUGUGUAGGGAGGAUAAUCCACCUUCUGGCCACAGACAUGUUUUGUUAUGCUGGGGGUUCAGCAGUGUGUGGGAGUAGGAAGAGCAGUCUGAGUUUCCCAUACCUUAUAGUCAACCUCUGGGCCUUGACCUCUGCACAUCCAACAUUAGGGAAGAAAGUGUGAGUGGGCGGGCACAGUCUCCCUUGUCCCAGCAUUCUGUGACUUGGUGAGGCCUGAGUAUUGAGUUUGUUUAAAAAAAGAGAAUGUUAUAAGAAAUCCAAAAGCCUGGAGAGAAGGAGAAGGUGAGCCAGCGUGAGACGAGAACAUCACCAAUCCCCAAUCCUAAGUGAAUCUGCUGCAGAAUGGGAGAAUGGAGUCUUGCUAUGAAGCCCCUGAAAUGAGAAAGCUCUUCCAGACACCCCACAUGGGGCUGUAACUCACUCAAAAUUGCACUGAGGCUAUAAACUGCAAAGAGCUCCUCUUGAAGAAUUUAUGAGGGGUCUGAAAGCUGUAUAUUUGCUCUCGAGACAUCUAUUGUUUGUUUAUAAUGUGUGCAUGUUUAAUUUGCUAUAAAAUCAGGAGGCAGUACUAUACAAACAAGCAACUCAUCCACCCUCGAGUGCUGUCUUGGAAGGGGGAGGAUGGGAGAAGGGAAUUCACGGAGAAUUUAUCACUUUGCCCUGUGAGUGGAGGAAUUUGGAGUUGUUGCUUCACUGCUAAAGGCUGUCUUGUUGGGCUUGUUGGAGAGGUGACUCUGGUGGGCUAGGGGG